rnacentral:rRNA from 1 species
GACGAACGCUGGCGGCGUGCUUAACACAUGCAAGUCGAACGGAAAGGCCCUGCUUGCAGGGUACUCGAGUGGCGAACGGGUGAGUAACACGUGGGUGAUCUGCCCUGCACUUCGGGAUAAGCCUGGGAAACUGGGUCUAAUACCGGAUAGGAGCCAUUUUUAGUGUGAUGGUUGGAAAGUUUUUUCGGUGUAGGAUGAGCUCGCGGCCUAUCAGCUUGUUGGUGGGGUAAUGGCCUACCAAGGCGGCGACGGGUGGCCGGCCUGAGAGGGUGGACGGCCACAUUGGGACUGAGAUACGGCCCAGACUCCUACGGGAGGCAGCAGUGGGGAAGAUUGCACAAGGGGCGCAAGCCUGAUGCAGCGACGCCGCGGGGGGGAUGACGGCCUUCGGGUUGUAAACUCCUUUCGCUAGGGACGAAGCUUUUUGUGACGGUACCUAGGGAAGAAGCACCGGCUAACUACGUG